rnacentral:lncRNA from 1 species
AAACACCAAAUAAAUGGCCAAGGGAUUUAUCCUAGGUCAAACAAGGUCAAAGGACCUUAGACAAAAAAUUUCACUAUUUUUGAGAAGUCAUAAGUAUUUUUAAACAUUUAAAAAUAUGCACAAAAACAUUUAAUUCAUGAAAAAUAUCAAAAUUAAUCCAAAAAAUAAUUUUAAUUAAGAAUAUGGAAGAGUAGAAUAUUUAAAGAUUUUUGGUGAAAGUCUCAUAUUAUGAAAUUUCUAUGAAUUAAACAAAAUAAAUGAAUUAAAUGAAAAAUCAGAAAUAAAAAA